rnacentral:lncRNA from 1 species
GCCAUUGUAGAGCAGCCAUUGAAUCAACACAGAGAGGCGGCAGCGUGCCUCUGACUCACCAGGAACCCAGCUCCUCACUGUUCCGCCUGCAAACAGACCUCAAAGCUCCUUGUUCCUUGCUUUGUGCUGCUGAACGCAAGUGGUGAGUAUGACAGAAGAGUACAGAAUAGCUAUACACAGCUUAAGGAAUAGCCAGAGAGGGAUAGCCAUAAACAGCAGUGGAGAAGGGCCAUUUUUUCAUUUUGCCGAUUGACUUACUAGUCAUUUGAAAAAUUACACACCUCACAAAUAAUUUUAAUUGAUUUUUCCAUUAUGUUUUGAUGGCAGGCUAAAGUUGCUUCAUCCGCAUUUCCAAAAUAAACUAUUUUUCUGUUGCUUUAAAAAUUAGCCUACCAAGAAAAAUGUUAAGCUAGCAAAAUGGAGUCCAUCCAGAUUCUUUAGCAUAAUAGUAUGCUAUUACUGCUUUUAAUUUACUACCAUUAAAACAUUUAUCUUAUAUUCCUACAAUUUUUAAAUUAUAUCCUAACUGGAGAUUAAAAGUUAAGACAAGUUUUUCCUGUUAUGACUGUCCUAUGUUUUAAAAAUUAUUGUGCUUCUAUUUUAUAUUAGCCUGUGUAUGUCAUAUGACAUACUGGUAUAUUAUUGGAUAUGUACACAAAUCUUAUCUAGAGAGUUUUUUUAAGAUAAGAUGGAGAAUUCUGGAUGAAGAUUUAAACUAAAUGAUGACAGAGAUGUUUCCCAAUCAUUGAACUUGAAGGACUGAAUGUGAAAUAAUGAAAAACAUCACCAACUAAGUCUGAAGAGUGAUUUCUGGCCUUGAGGGUCCUACUUACUAGAAAAAUAAACGUAGGCAAAUCAUCUGACCUCUCUGUAAAUUUAGCUUCCUGGUUUGCAAAAUGGGGUUGAUUUUGUUCUGGGAUCUCCUCCUCCUGCAUGAAGCCCAGAGGCCUCAGGCAAAGCUGACUUCACCUCCCUCUAGCGGGGGCCUGGGGGGCCUACGAGUGAGUUGCUCAGGAAGGGUCAUGUGACACACCCUGGCCAAUGAGAUAUGAGGAGAAGUUUGCCGGAGACUUCUAGGAACAUUAUUCUUUGUUCCUACUGAGUUUCUAGGAGCAACACCCUUUCCCCGGAGUCACUGUUCUAAUUGAGGCCUAGGUUUCCGGCAGCUGCCUUUCUUAAGCAGUCGAUACACAAAGACCCACACGGCCAGAGACUCGCUGGGAAGCAGACUGGGAGUCACAGACUGAGGCGGCCCUGAAGUUUGCUCUUCAUCUACACUUCUAGUGUAAAAGUCAUAAUAAUUUUUCUUUUAUGGGUUAACCUGAUUUGAGUUGGGUUUUUGUUACCUAUAGUUAAAGGUACCUUAACUACCUUACAGAUAAAAAAAUGUAAAUAAAACUCCGAAAAUUAAGUGCUAUAAGAUGUUAAUAUGCUCUCAUCAUUAUUUUAAGUAAAUAAUUAUUCAUAUCAGUAACAUCUAUCUUUAUUUUUUGAUGAAGCCAAAUCAUCUUUGAGAGGCACCUUACAGAGUUUGGUGUUUGUAUCCUUUUGAUAAUAUCCCUGCCAAAUGGUAAUUCAAUAAAUGAACUCUCCCAGUGAUGGGGACAUCCCCACCUCCUGAGAAAGUGUUGACAGUCAUGUAAUUAUCAACAAUUAACUCAGCACACUGUGGUGUGGCCAGCCCUAGUAUUCCAUAUUUGCAUGUACUUUGUGUUGAGAUUAUUUGACGCCAGAGAGAAAGCAGGAAAAUCGAGGUAGGUGAACUCACUGCUAUUGGUCCGCAUUUUUGCUACACGGAAAGCAUUGAGCUCAAAUAAUUCUGUGAUGGGUGAGGCUGAAUCUGGCUGUGUCUCCCUUCUUCUCUUUGCUGGUAUUCUCUCUUCAGGGACCCAGGGAAGGCCACAGAUGCUCUCUGGAAGUACAAUAGCUAUUUUCCUGGUCUGCAUCUGAGGUAGACACGGAAGGAUCAGAGGGACUCAGGGCAUUGCCCUCAGGGGAGUUCUUGGUGCUCAAUGCCUGCAUACCUCACUUAUGCCAUGAAGGUAUUCCUUAAAGGAAAUGAUAAAAAUAUCACUUUGGUAAGUACUGUUUUGACUGUGCAAAUGAUGAUCUAAAGGAAUUUUAUUGUAAAUAUAAUUACCAUAGCUGCCAUUUAUUGAGUGUCUGCUACCUACUAGUCAGAGGACUAUAUAAACAUCUGAUAAGCAUGAUGUGUUAAUUCUUUCAACAGAUCACCAUCAAAGUUAGCAUUAGCAUCUCAUUUUAUAUAGGAUGGACUGAGGCUCAGAGAGGUUAGAUUAAGUCGCCCAAGCCAGGUGACCAACUGUGCAGUUUUCCCAGGACUGAGAGGGUUUCUGCAAUGUGGGCUUCCAAUACUAUAACUGAGAAACUUCUGUGUAAACUGAGACCAAUUAGUCAUCCUAAUUGCAGCUAAAAGUAAACAAACAAAUAAAGCAAAACAACAUCACAGCAAUACAAUCUUUUCAUAAAGUGACUAAUGUUAAUUCCAAAUUGUUUCAUUCUCUGACUGUUCAACCUGCAUAUAUAAUGUACAGCUUCAAGGGCUAUUAAUAGUCUAAAUGUAAAAAAUACAACAGGAAAAAUAAAAUCAACAAUAAUCUCUGAGUCAAUUUUACCAUUUCCUGUGAAUUAAACCUUAUCCCUGUAGAGUGUCAGGGUCCCAGGAAGAGGACUCCUGCAAUACAGCUCUCUCUGCAUUUUCUUUCAUUAGCAUAAUAGAGGCCAAAGGUAACUUACCUCAUCUGAAAUUUGACCUCCAAAUGUCACCCAUGUUCCUAGAAAAUAAUAAAUAUUUGCAUAUUAUUCAUCAUCAUUUUUCUAAUAUUGUGCGUAAUAAGGGAAAUUCUUACUUUGGGACUACCUCAAUAGGUUGUAUGGGUAGUUCACAAAGGUACCUGGAUGAGGGGCACAUGUGGGCUGUGGUCUAGUUGGUCUAGUCUGUCUUCUUCUCACUAAGUAUUCCAGAAGGGGUCUGUAUCCCUCUGGAGAAAGGGCUGCUGUUUCUUUACUGAAAGCCACUGUACAUACUAUUGGAAGCCCUGUCCUAGAAGAUGCUUUCCCUUCUGCUAUUGGACCAUGGAUGCUAGUGUACAAGAUCCAUUCUUGCUCCCACUGAGCUAAGAAGCCACAUGUUCUGAAAGUGAAGGUAAGACCUUGGGUUAUGGUUAUAGUUCUCCCCUUCUUUGCCUCCAAAUAGUGGCUGUAUUUUUUAUUCAUUAUUACUUUUCAAAAGAAACCCUCUUAGAGGUCUUUCCAGUGCCCACUUACAAGACUCAGGAGGUGACACUUAUGUGCCUUCUCUGUCAUAACCUGCCAUUCCAGAAUGGAAAUCUCCACUGGUUUGGGUGAGAGUGGAGACAGCAGCAGGAGUAAGGUUUGGGAAGGCAAGGGGAGAGAUGCACACUCAGCAGCCAAAGACGUUUGAAACUUUGUAAAGUAGAAGGGAAGCUGAAGUGGAGUGGGCACUUGCUAUGCUGGUCUCCAGGCACCUCAUUUAUUCAUUCCAUCCUUUAUGGAUAGAUCCUCCUAAAAGGAGGAUUUAUUCCCUUCCUUUCCCUUCCUAAAGGAGGGAAUGAAUUCUUUUGAUUCCUAAUUACAUGCCACAUAAAAGCAUUGCACUCACGUGUAAGGGACAGUGAGAUGAUUGGCCCAGUUCCUGUCUCGCAGGAGCUCACGGUUUAUAAGACCAUUUGACAAAUGCUAUGACUGAGGUGAACAUAAGGCAGAUAAAAGGGAGUGCUCUAUUUAGAUUGGAGGGUGGUGGCAUUCUAGGAAGACUUCCUAGAAGAGGUGACAGCUAGGUCGAGUCUCACAGGGGUUAACUGAACGAAGAAGAAAGGGACAGACAUUCUAGGGAGAGGCAAGAGCACCGGCCAGGAAAGGAGGUGGGAAACUCCAGAGAGUGCUGAUGAGCAGGGGCCUACACCAUCAGGCCGUGAGAUGAAAUGUGGGAGCACCAGGGAGGGACGGCAGGAGUGAGAGCAGUAGAGCCUGGGCACAAGUGAUAUUUGGGAGGCAUACAAAGAAAUGUGGUCGAAAAUGCAUAUUUUGCAUUUUGUAAUAACAGUCCUAGCUACCAUUUAUGGAAGAACACUUUCCAAAUGCCAGACAGUAUACUAAGAAGCUUACCAGAUCACUUUAUGCUUACUUCCAG